GAGAACGCACGUUUACUCGCUGUUGCGGGCCGGCGAAAAAUUCCUGCAUAUCUGCAUAUCUUAUUUUUCUAAUUAUCGUAAUCAUUGGCUGGAUGCGCUGGGCGCGCGUGGAAAUUCUCCACGCUCGCAAUCGCGAUAAUGCCGCGUAAAAUGCUCGCGGCCGCAAAGCGACGCGCUGCUUCGCUCGACAGUUACCGCUUUUGUGCUUUCAUUGCUUAAUUGGCAGUAUUUAAUUUUAAUUGUUACCACUCCCGCGGCCGGGAAUAAUGAAUACCGUUCACUGUUGAGUCUCCUCCCCGUCCUUCUCGGCCCCUUAUUAGCCGAGCUGCUUGCGCUGCGUCGAGCGUUACGAGCUACGCGAGCAUCAUAACCGAUCUAAAUUAGUUGUUGCCCUCUGAUUGCCGGGGUACGCCUCUGGCACCCCGUUGAAACGAACCAAUCUAUGGCGCUCCCUCGAACCGGCCAGAUAUCGCGUACAAUUUGCGUUUCACGUUCCGCUCCGGAGAUUUUCAUAUCGCGCGAAACGCGCGAGUGGAUAAAGCCAAACAGCAUCGAUUCUCUCAUUCGCGUAAACCCGACUUGAACAUUUCGAAAUCAAUUCAACGAACAGACUCCGGUGCUCCGACGAGGAUUUACGGUUUAUCACGUGACAAGAAAAAGAAACGAGCUAUCAACGUGCUCCAAGGGGGGAGUAUUUUUAUCUUUUCAUUCGGAGCAUAAAUUUCGUAUGACAGACAUAAAUUACGCGUUAAAUUAUUUAAUCGCGACGGGCACUCUCUUAUCCGACGCUCUUAUCCACACACGCGGCGAUUACAAGGAUGCUCGAAAAUUGCGGUGAAUUAUGCGCGAGAUUGCGGAAUUUAUUACACGCCCACGGGGGAAAAGAAAAAAAAGAACAGCCGAGAGAAAAAGAAUGUUAAAUGUCGCCGCGCCGCGCGACAGUUUCAAUUCGCGACGCGAACACGAGGAUUCUCACUUAAAGCCGAUAAUUGGCGGUUCAGCAUGUUGCGGGCGACGUUGCUUGAUUGCGAGGAAGCAUCGUCGCCGAUGCUUGAUGCGAGGCGAUUUAUAACGCAUCUGUCACGCACCGGCAACUUUAGAGAGAAAUCGCAUCUGCAUACUUGUUCUUAAAUAGAUUGCGUUUAUCCAUUUCUCGCCGGGAAGGGUAGCCGACGAGAUUCACCUUCGAUGCUCGAAAAUUCGCGAGUCUCAUCGCGCGCGUUGCUGAUCCAGCCGAUUAUCAUGACGAUGAUCGCCAACGUCUCGUGAAUCUCGGGCUGAGGAAUUAUUUUGCAAACCGUCUCUUGCGUAACGCUUGUUCGGUAUAAUGCAUCCGAGAGAAAAAUAGCAUUCUGCAAGAACAAUAGCGACAGCACACAUCGCAGCUCGAGCUCACGAUUAUUUUCUCGUUUUCGCUUUUGUAUAGAUUGUAUAGAUUAUAUUUAUAUAAUAAAAGGAUAUGCACACAAUAACGAGGACUAUAAUGACUCUAAUCAGAAUAAUUUUAACUUAAUUUAAACGAAUGAUCGAAGCUGUAUGGAGCUUCGAAAAUUCUUCGACUCCAGUGAUCCCAUCCUUUCCCGCUCUUCUUCACGGAGAAGCAACAAUUUAACGAUAAAAAAUCGCAAGAUUGCGUGCGAGAUCGAUGCAAACGUACGAUGUGCCGGUAUGUAUGUGCACAGCUAUCGCCACCCGUUCCGCAUGUCCAGCAGCAAUCUGGAUUAUUUGCCAAGGGUUGCAUAGCAGUCACGCUUGGGGCGCGCAACAAUUUUCUUCGCGGCAACAUCUCGUGGUGUUUUGCAACGGCUGCACGUCCGAAACAUUAUCGGUUACUCCAGCAUUUACGCCAUGCACCUCGGGCAACCGGUGCGAUUAUCAACAAACUCCGCUCGCGAAAGAAGAGAAAGAGAGGGAGAGAGGAAGGGAGGGAGAGUGUAUUCUCAAGAUUUAUUAUGGAUCUCGGUUUUCUACGUGCGUUCACUCCCGUCAACGGGAGAACCACGUCGGCCAUAACCGAGAAACUUUCCGAGACGCGUCCGCGCCAGAUACGUGCAAUUAUCUACACGCGUGUACGGAUAAUAAUCUGAUAUCGCGUGGUAUGCAUUAUAAAAAACCCAUUUAUUACGCAGGUGCAAAGUAUUAUAAUAGACACUGGAUGUAGCGCACUUUCCGUUACGUUUUUCCAACAUUUAAUGAUGGUGCGCGUAAGUCAUACGGUAAGAAAUGACAGACGUCCGUCAGGAAAAAUUGCAAACGCGUUCGUUACAAGAGGCAUUAUAAAAAGUUUCUCUUUCUCUCUCAUGAUAUCGAACAUUGUGAGUGUCUUUGCCGUACAAACGGAUAAUUAAAAGAUACAAGCAUAUUCGAGUCCGUGUCGUAUUGCAAGCAGUCGCUUUCACCAGGCAGAAUGGAAGAAGAACAAGAGUCACAUUUGGCAAUCUGGUAAUUGGGCAAAUUUAUUGCGCAUACACAGAGACACACGAAUAAGUACGCGAAAUUACAUUCCCGAUAGAUUCAGCCGCGAGUGCUGGCUCGCGGAAGCAAUCAGUACGAAAGUUGCCGGUCAAAAGUAUUAAUCCUUUCGCGAGAUCGCGGCGGACGAGCUCGCGUCUCGGCGACCUUUCGGACGCGAUUCACGCGAUGUGGGAAUGAUUUAUCUCGGAUGCACCCGGGAAGAUGAAUCCGACCAACGGUGGAGUACCCGAGUAAGCCGGCCGUAAAAAUAUCGCUUGCCUCGUAAAUUACAUUCUACGGCGCAGCCUUGCGUUACACGCUCGUCUCGGGGGCCCGAUCCUCCCGUCUCCGCGAGAGAUAUUUGCAAUGAAGCGGGCUUUUUAAUACCGCCUGGCUCGCAUGUAAACAGCGAUACGUGAAACGCGAAUCUCGCACGGCGAAGCCUUGACGCACGAAAAACACCUGCAGCCGUAACGAGAAAAACUGCGCUUGAGAAAUGAUCCAGCGAUUCGUAACGCUGCUCGACAAAGAGAAAACAAGAGUACAACUCGGUCGGCUCGUAAAAAGCUUCUCUCUCUCUCUUAUGAGUUUCAUUAAUUUUAUACAUAAUAAAGCGAAUCCGCCGCAAGUAAUGGCGCAAGUCGUCCUCGGGAAAGGCCAGUGCGAAGUACAAAAGCGCGGUAGCGGUAAACAUCGCGCGGGCGAUCAUGACAGAUGAAAAUAAUCGCAGAAAAUUAAGAUUCAAUGGGAAACGUACGGGGGGAGGUACCGAUGAUUUCAACGUCGCGAUGAGCACCACGAGCACGGGUAUUAUCGAAUGCAAACGUGCUCAGAAUAGGAUUUGCAGCUGCGCGCUCGUUCUCCGGCUUACUUAAUCGCCAUAACUUCCGCUCGGAUUUACGUGACGUCACCUCCGACGUCGGUCGCGAGGAGAGCAAGGCGAUACCGAGCCAAAAAUAUAAUAAAGCUCGCCGGACUCUUGGCAUCGUUUUAUCGACAAUGUCGGAUCGACUUUGCGGCGCGUCUCGCGUUAAGCUCUUAUCGAUCAUUCGUUUAUCCGCGAUUACGGUGCGUGUCACCGUACGUUUGUGGUAGCGUGCUGCUUGAGCCUUCCUCAUUCAUCCCUUAAUCCCGAUCUCGGCAAUUUCGCCUCGAUAAACUGUGCGUGCACCGAACGGCGAACGGCGAACGGCUCGCUCUCCGCGAGCACAUGCAUUCUGCCCGCAUUGAAAUUACCGGUUUUCUCGAUGAGGAUAUUAUUAUCCAUCAUAAAGCCAUCUGCCGCGUACCGCGACACACAUCGCGGACUUAUGCGUGUGCAUCGAAUACGCGAAGCUGCAAUUUGCUAAAACGCUGUCAUUCGCGAUGAACGCAUAGUACUUAGAUGUGCUGAAAUAGUUUAUGCAGUCCUCGCGAGUCCACCGUUUCGACCGCGUCGGUGUAAUUUGCAAUGUUAAUUGCUGUGCCCGCGACAGGUAAAAUCUAUUAAUUUGCAAAUUGCAGAGUGGCCGUGAAACGUCCAGGGAAAAUCUGUUCCCGUGUCAGUCCUUCAUCCUUCAGCAGAUUAUUUUAUACGACUGCAGAGUAAAAAAAUAACACCGGAUACGAAACCGUUUUCUUGAUGAAGCAGAAAGGAACAUCGAGAUAUCGGCGAAACGGAUAAAGCAACGGGGGGAGGGCAACGCGAGAGACGGCGUCCUGACCGGCACACGCAACCCCCUUUACGCACGUUAAAAGUGAACGGCCAUGCGUGAUGCAAAAGUUGUAAUAUUAUUCGAAAGUCUUUCAAAGUUGAGGCGGUUCGAACGGCCGGUUUUACGACGGGGCACCGACGUCGCACAAUGCCGGUCCUAGUGGUUUUACAUAUCGUAAAGUGCGUGCACGCGCGAGCUAAGGAGCGCAUAUAAAUCGGCUUGCCUGCUGUUAUGUCUCCUGCGUGCAAAGGGCCGUUUACCAUUUUAUGCUCUCGGGGCCUUUAAGUCCUUUUCCGGCCUUCCUUCUCUCCCGUCCCGCCUGGCGCGAAAGUCGAGUUUUGAACGCCAAGGAGAGCAAAAAGUCACCGGAACAAAAUUGAAAUUGCCGAGAUCGAGAUUAACGGAUGAAUGAGGAAGGCUCAAUUUGAUAGAAGCUCGACGAAGAAGGCACCGACGUCGUUUCGCGAAUUGUUGAUGACGAGCUGAUCAAGUUUCCUCGAAGCAGAUUGUCGACGAAGGAAAAAGACCGAAUCGAUUCCGUGUGAAAGGAGCAUCGAAUAAUAUUGCUUGCUUGGCGCACUUUAUUUCCUUGUGCGUUGUAAAUUAUGCGAUAUGCGAGAUACGAGUCGUGCUCCUCAUAAACAAAGUUCCUCGGCAAAAAUAAAACGCGCGUAAGCUCAGCACUAUGUUACUCCUGAUUUGAAUAAGCUGACCGUGAAGCGUGCAUUGUUAUCGAACAACAGCGUGCGAGCGAGCAAUCAUUUAAAUGUAAAGCCAAUUAAGUCUGAGGCAACAUGAAGAGGAUACGCGUCGUUUUCGCGUUUAAUAAGGAGCGCGUCGGGCCCCGUAAACACAAGGGCCCAAGAAAAAAUUUAAUUACGUUAAUUAUUAAUAGAAAUGACGGAUACAAGUAGGCGCUCCGUCUAUCAGUGAAUUAUCCAGCGCGAUCUGCGCGAUAACGGACAAAUUGCGUGUAUCAGGCACGCACUGCGAGUCAUACAUCUCCGCGGAAAUAUUCGAUUCGCCGGUUAGAACGCAUCGAAUGCUCGCCUCGGUUCGGCUUGGCGUGGAUGUAACCAGCAUGAGAUCAUUAUUUAAUUCGCGCUGUACUCGACGAACUCGUGAGAUUCACGUUGCGUGCACGUGCGUGUUACAUACGUACGUGCGGCAUAAUGAAACAUUCGUGUCUCGUGAUAUCGUCCCGUACAAGCGUACGCGCGAUACCCGUGUGUGCCCCGGAUACACACAUAGGAGGCAGCUGUGCAGGUUGUCAGCGUGACAGGACACGUGAGAAGGAAGGACCGACCUCGAGUACGUAGGACGGGACCGCUGAAAAGGAACGCGACGUGAUUUUCGAGCCAUGCGCGUAAGUAUAAAUACGUUGCAGCUUCGAGAAUACUAUCUAAGAAAAGCUUCGCACGUCGCACACAUUAUAUAUAGACAUCGUCCUUGCACUUUAUGCGCGCGAUCGUUCUCGUCGUCACCUGCAUCCAAGGCGGCGGCGGCGGCGAUGACAACGACGAUUUAUUCGCGUGCGCGUCCAACAGUGUGUGUACUCGUCUCUCCCGUCCGUCCGCGCGUGCAUGUGCAAUUAUAUCGCAUGCGAGAGCGAUUGCCAAUCGUCAAACGUUCUGUCAGAUUUGUCCGAAUGACGAGACGCAAUUCGCGACGCAGUAUACGGCCUGCGUUAUUGCACGCGUUGCACAUCUUAUAGGCUCUGCGACCGGAUGAGCGUUUGCAGUGCUAGAUAAGAUAAAUGCGCUUAUGCACAUCGCUCGACCGUCACGUACAUAGUUGCCCGUAAUGUCAAGGAAAAACGCCGAGCCGCGCCUCGGAGGCCCCUUCGGCCGCUCCGACUCGUCGCCGCUGCUCGCAGACGCGGACGAGCGCGCUGCAAGCGCGCGAUUGUACGUGCGCACCGUUCCCUGUCCCCCCCUGUCCAUGGUGCUGCAAGUGCAACCGUGUCUGUCUCCCGUUCUGUUCCGUCCCGUCAUGUCUGUCCCCAUCUCCUUUCUUGUCUUUCUCUUCCUGUUUCUCUCUCGCUCUCUCCCUCGUUCUCCGUUUCUGUCUGGCAGCUUGCGGUUAUGCAAGCUCACGGCAUACAUUGCCAAUUUUCUCGACCCACGACUGACUCAGUUUCAUCCUCCCUUCCUCCCCCCCCCCUCUCUCUCUCUCUCUCUCUCUCUGUGUGCGACUCCACUGCUCGGUGACCACGAUGGACGGAGAGACGGACGGAUGGACGGGCGAACGGACGGAACUCCUCCAAGCGUACCCCGUUCUUUAAUAAAAAGGCAGCGACUUCUUCCUCGCUCUCGCACCGUGCACCGUGUCUAAGUUACACAUAUUAACUCGUCCGUGCAGACUGCAAUUGCAAUCUUCCCUCUCGUUUUGCUUCCGUUCGGCUUCUCGCGUUCUCCUUCCGUCCCGCUCCCGCCAUUCCUCUUUGUCCUCUGAGUUUCUCUUCUUCCCUUCCCUCCGCCAUCCGUUUCUCCGUCGCUCCUCUCCUCAUCCUCCGGAACCACUCACUGGUUCCUUCUCUGUCACUCUUUGGCGCCGGUUUCUCUCCAACUCGCGCGACUUCUCUCUUCCUCGUGCGUGCCUGUCGUGCCGUCUCACUCGCACGGAGAAAUGUGCAAUUCAGGGCCGUACAAAUCCCGCGGCCACUUCAAGUCUCGGCGCGCCGAGACCGAUUCCUCUUGCUCGCUGCGCGGAUUUUGCGAACGCGCGCCGCGUUGCCGCGCGAUUUACGUGCGUAAUCGCGCCGGCUACAUGCACGAUAAAUCAGUAAUAAUCGAUGCGGGAGUAUUAAUAUAUCGCGCAGGCUAGCUGGGGGACAACACGACGCAAUAAACAACGCAACAGUAACCGGGCGUUACGUCUGCACAAUAAAAUUAACGAUGCCGUAAAAGCUUUAUAGUUUUGUGCGGUGGCGCCUUUCGCGCGUGCGGCAAUAAUUUUAAUUAGUUAAUUGUCGGGAAUUUUCAUCUAUUGCCUGUCAUCCGAGCGAGCGUUCACGCGGGGGUAGCUCUGUAUCGAUCGUGUCGCACCGAGACUGUCCUUGAGGCGCUUUAGUUGGAGCGAUUUUAAAUCGCCUUUUUCAAGGCGGAUUAUUUUUAAUAAAAGUUGACGACGUGUUACUCGUUUAAUUUGCAGACCCCCAAUGUUUUCGGAAAAUCAAGGGUAGAAAUAAAACAUCCUCGUACGAGCACGCAGUGGAAAAUAUGUCUGCACAAGUGUUGCAACGUGUGCCCAAAUGGGAGUGGUGCGGCGGGAGCCUGAUCGCGGCGCGUAAAAGCGGAAAUAAGUAAGUCAGGAAAUCGAGAAAUCUAAAGUUGAACAGUCGCACCGCCGCGUACGUGCCGCUGCAGCGCCUGACCAAUAACACGUGAAAUUAAUCCAUGGCUAAUUUAAGCUCCAACCGCGUACGGCCACGUCCUACGACGAGCACUGGAAUGGCUGCUCACCAACGCGGAUCGAUUCGAGAAAGAAGAAAAAUUGAAAAACGCAUUAUCGACUGAUAUCAAGCUGAAUCAACUAAGAUUUUCAGCUCAAGUACUCGUAAAAUUCGAGGAAUAAAAAGGAAUUGCGGAAAACAAUUUCCCGACGGAAAUGAUCGGCUCGCAUUCGUUGCAUAUUUCCUGAAACAACCGCGCUACGUUUAUUCGAGUUUUCCUCAGAAUCGAGUCGCCGAGGAAAUUUCUACGAGACACUCGCGAUAAUCACACAGUCACCCUAUCGGGUUAUCGAGAAAAAAAGCAGCGUACGGCGGGGCCGUGAUUUUUACGCGCGAUAGAGAUAAGAUGGGAAUGGCAUGAUUCUAACGGUACUGUCGGCAUUCGAAAACGACCGUGUCGAUCUCGAUCCGGUUGAAAACGUGAUAUGAGGAAAACUUGACGUUAAUUAUAACGGUCGUGCGAUAACCACGUGUAUUUUUGUCGGCGUGCAAAUGUUCAUUUGGAAGCGGUGGUAGAUGCGCUAUAGAUACGAGAUGGUAACGCAGAUUCGUCGAGGUAUUCGAUCGAUUUACGCACAAAUACACAUGAGAAAUGUCAGUGGCUCGCAAAAGCCGAUCUACGACCGCGAUCCGCGAUCUGAUGCACCGCAAAGCGCAUACGGUCCUGUUGCGUCGUACAUUCCAUUCGUCUUCGUCUAAGAAGCAAGCGCCUCUCUCGCGCUCGUCAUCUUCAUUGCGACAUUACAUGCAGCUCGCACCGCAAAGUUCAUCUCUCUCUCUCUCUCUCUUUCUCUUGGUGCCUCUCGCGCGAUCAAUCCGCGAUCUCGUCACGUACGUCCGUACAUCGUCUCGUGUGUUCAAUUGUACUCGAUAUUAUCUUUCUGCGUCGGUUUUUGCACUUUCGUAUUUCUUUUUAGAAGAGAAGAAGAACGAGAGAGAGAGAGAGAGAGAGAGAUGCCACGUGCAAACUUGGAACAUAACUCGCACGAUGCGUUAUCGCGGACAUGUCUACUGCGUCGUAACGACGUCUGACGCUAUUGCGUAACUCGAAUUAUUAUGCCCCUACCCACCCUUCCCCGGAGCGAUAUGCACGAUCGUUAUUAUUCUCGCUCGCAAUCGCGCAAAGGGAAACGAAGAAAAAAGACAGAAAUAAGGACACAUUCGAAGGUGUUCGUUGAAACUCGACUCUGAUUUCGCUGCAGCUGCAAGUCGCGGCAAGUGUUGCACGGCGAAGUGCUCGCGGUACAAGGAAAUGCCACCAAGGUCGACGGGUAAAUUUGCACAGCUCCGCCGACUUAUCUGUUUAUUUCUAUGAUUAUCGUUGUGCCUCGUAUCGCGCUAUCAAACUAUCAAAAGCCGUCGUGUAUUCGUGCCUGCGAUAUAAUAGAUACGUGCGCGCGUUCUCCGUCCCGUUCGUAGCCGCUGUUUCUCGCGCAUCUUCUCCGCGCGAUCACAUUCCGCCCGCGUCUGCUUAGUAAUUUCAUCAAUCUUCUUUUUCGCUCUCAUUUCGCUCUCCUACUUGCGCUACUCUCUCUCCCGCCAUUUAUUAUAUCUCGCGCGAUAUCUCUCGCUCUAUUUCACACGCGCGCCAAACAACCGAACGAGCGAGCUAGCUCCUUUAAUUCCACGCGCGAUCAAACGGACGCGAGUAAACCAAUAUCACGCGGUCGCCCUCGGCGAGGGAGACACUUCUCCUCUAAAAUUUCUCUCGAUAAAUUUCAUGAAUCGCGAUUAUAAUGAAAUCGCGCACUUGCGGAAAACAUCACCGCCGACAAAUGUUGGCAAACGUUUCCCUAAGUGCGAAUUCUGUCCCGUCUCGGUGCAAAGUCGAGUAUCGGCCGACUGGUCCAGCUCGCCUCGCGCUGUUAAUUCCGGGGGGCAGGAUUCUAGACACGAAAAGGGUUGCGGUGAUUAUCAUCCGGCACUCCGCACGCACGCAAUCCUCGUCGUCCGCGUGCGUCCGCCCGCGGACAUCUCCUCGCACGCCACGUCGCGUGAGUGCCAGGGAAGAGCGAGUGCCAAGGUGGACACAAAUGUGUGGUCGCUCUCGCAACAGUAUGCAAAAGUUGUAAAUGUCGCACGCCGCGCGAGUCCUCGCUAUAAACGAUACCGAAAAAGAUCCGCGCGACAUCGCUGCCGGCGCAGUCCAUCUAAUUCCGUCCGUGACCGCGUCCCGUUUCUUGCCAGACGGACCGAGAAAGUGGAGACAUGUCGCGUGCAACAGGUUCCCGAGAAAUCCGCGGGAAGCGCGAAAUAUCUUCGUCGUCGUCGUCGUCGUGCGGAACGGAUUGGCGCGGUCACGCUUGCCGCGCGCGCGCGCGCGCGCGUGGAUGUCAAUUUUUGGGAGAAAAUCUGGCGCGACGCCCACGUUCCUCUUCACUGCAACUUUUCCAUAAAAAUCACUUCUCUUUACACGCUGGCGUGCUUGAAUGUCUGAAGAGUCGUGCCUCUCCGCUCCGUUCCUCGCGACUUGGAGUCUCGGUCUGUCUUUCAAAAUCAACCCUGCAAUUCGACGUCGGUUUGUGUAACUUUUUGCUGCGAUCCCGAACGUCACGCAAUGAGCAAUUGAUUAUGAUGAAAUCGCGAUAAUUGAUCCAUCACUAACAAGUUUCCCAACGGCCAGUGUUUUAAGAGGCGGAUUUACAUUCGACACACGAUGCAACCAUGACAUCGACACUACUUCACGUGAUUGCUUAAUUCGAACAAUGCAAUCAAGUGAAUCGACGACUCCGCCGGCGUCUGACAGCCGAAUAAUUACACGGCACUAGUCACUCUAAUUAAUUGCGGCGCGAUCGUAUCGCUGCAGACUUUGUUGUCGCGCGUGAGAUUGUCAGUUCAUCCCGACGUCAACAAAUCGCGCAAUUACGUUUUUGUGUACUUGUGCGUACUCCUUUACCAAGAAUCCAUUUUUUACUCAAAAA